rnacentral:rRNA from 1 species
UACGUAGGGACCAAGCGUUGUUCGGAUUUACUGGGCGUAAAGGGCGCGUAGGCGGCUUGACAAGUCACUUGUGAAAUCUCCGGGCUUAACUCGGAACGGCCAAGUGAAACUGUCAUGCUAGAGUGCAGAAGGGGCAAUCGGAAUUCUUGGUGUAGCGGUGAAAUGCGUAGAUAUCAAGAGGAACACCUGAGGUGAAGGCGGGUUGCUGGGCUGACACUGACGCUGAGGCGCGAAAGCCAGGGGAGCAAACGGG